UACGGGGGGGGGGGCAAGCGUUUGUUCGGAAUUACUGGGCGUAAAGGGCGCGUAGGCGGCCUGUUAAGUCAGACGUGAAAUCCCUCGGCUCAACCGGGGAACUGCGUCUGAUACUGGCGGGCUUGAAUUCGGGAGAGGGAUGUGGAAUUCCAGGUGUAGCGGUGAAAUGCGUAGAUAUCUGGAGGAACACCGGUGGCGAAGGCGGCAUCCUGGACCGACACUGACGCUGAGGAGCGAAAGCCAGGGGAGCAAAGCGGG
rnacentral:rRNA from 1 species